GCUCCUACCGAUUGAAUGUGCCAGUGAAAAGUUCGGAUUGGGCGUGGGAGACGGCAACGUAUCCCACAUCCGAGAAAAUCUUUAAACUUUCCCAUUUAGAGGAAGGAGAAGUCGUAACAAGGUUUCCGUAGGUGAACCUGCGGAAG
rnacentral:rRNA from 1 species